ACGAACGCUGGCGGCAUGCCUAACACAUGCAAGUCGAACGGAACUUGUUGAAUGAAGUUUCGGAUGGAUUUGAUAAGUUUAGUGGCGGACGGGUGAGUAACACGUAAGUAAUCUACCUUAGAGACCGGAAUAAUGUUUGGAAACGAGCACUAAUACCGGAUGAUUCAUAUUUAGAUAACUAGAUAUGCUAAAAGGAGCGUUUGCUUCGCUUUAAGAUGAGCUUGCGGCGUAUUAACUAGUUGGUGAGGUAAUGGCUCACCAAGGUGACGAUGCGUAGCCGAACUGAGAGGUUGAUCGGCCACAUUGGGACUGAGACACGGCCCAAACUCCUACGGGAGGCAGCAGUUAGGAAUAUUCGUCAAUGGGGGAAACCCUGAACGAGCAAUGCCGCGUGAGUGAUGACGGUCUUUAUGAUUGUAAAACUCUGUUGUAAGGAAUGAACCCUUAAGAUAGGAAAUGAUCUUAAGCUGACGGUACCUUACCAGAAAGCCCCGGCUAACUACGUG
rnacentral:rRNA from 1 species